rnacentral:misc_RNA from 1 species
UCUCCGUUGGUGAACCAGCGGAGGGAUCAUUACCGAGUUUCAAACUCCCAAACCCAAUGUUAACCGUACCCUACACUUUCCUCGGCGCGGUCACGCCCCGGGUUCGUCCCAGCCCCGGCACUAGGCCCCCGCGCGGGCGACCGACCAAACUCAUCCUGCACUCCCUUCGCUGUCGCUUUUUUUAGAGCUCUGUGCAGAAAUUGGCAAAGAUUUCAAACUUUCAACAACGGGUUCCUUCGUUCUGGCAUCGCGGAAGAACGCAGAAGAUCGCACGACCAC